AUGGCCCCUCCAGCGUCUCCGUGGCUCUCGGGAUGCACAGCAGGAACCAGGGUUGGUCUCAGCUCCCUGCCUGGGAAAGCAGCAGAGGAUGGCCGGGUGCUGGGGCCCUGCACCCACGUGGGAGACUUGGACGGAGCUCCUGGCUCCUGGCUUCGGCAGGGCCCAGCAGAUUAUGCAGGCCACUUAGGGAGUAAGCCAGUGGAUGGAAGAUGGAUCUCCCCCCACCCCCCCCCCACCCCCGCUCUCUUUCAAGUAAGCAAAUCUCCAUCAAGCGCUCGGCUUGCGAGCUCCUCUCCUGUGCUGUGCUGUUUUCCUGUGUGCCCUGUUCUGACAUCAACGCAGGACCCAGAGCAGGCCCUCAGCAGACCCGGCCCCUGUGUGCCCAGCUCAGCGCUCGCAACCGCAGCAGGCAGGCAGGCAGGCGACCCCGUGGCCGCGGCUGGAGGACCACCGCGGGCUUUCUGCGAGUCCCCGGAGGAGCUGAGCUGGGGGGGUGAGUGCCGGUCGGGGAGGGGGGUUGGUGGUCAUGGGGACGGGCGGACACUGUGUGUGUGUGUGUGUGUGUGUGUGACAGUGCUGCCCUUGCCCAAGCACAGAAGGUGGGUGGCGGUGAGGCCUGUGCCCUGUGCACGCCCCCACAGUAGCGAUCGGGGGGAAGUGUAGCCUAAUGGCCAACACGAGGCUGUGGAGCGGCCGCCCUGGCUGCACCUGGGGAAGCAGUGAACCGGCUUCCGGUAACUCUUGGUGUGGAAGCCGCCUGUCCCCGGCCCCGGGCUCAGGCGACUGGUCACAGUGGACGGAAGGCUGGACCCCGGGUCCCGGUGCUGGGCGCCUGUGGGCCAGGAACCUGGCUGCAGGGGAAGCAGGUCCCCGCGUCCUGCCUGACUCCGGGAGUGGAAGGAGCCCCAGCUUGAAGCCACAGGCAUCCGGGCAUCCGGCGGUGUGUGGGCGGGGCAGGAGUGGGCUGUGUACUUCCCACUUCCAGCGGCCUGGACACCGUCAGAGCAGGGUGGGGGGAGGAGUCCCGGCCGUCCUGGCUGGGACAAAUCAGGCUGAGACUGGGGCCAUGGCAACCUCGUGGCCUCAGGUCAGAGCUGGAGGGCAGGAGGGACCGGAGCGCGGCGGCCCUCGCCCCGCCUGUGUGUCCGUGCCUCCCUGUGGGACGUGGUCCCACCACCAGGCGCACGGCUCCUCUGGAGAGCGCCAGUCAGCCGUGGAUCUCACUGCCACCUGCUCCCUAACAGGGACAGAAAGAGAUCUUCCAUCUCUGGUUCACCCCCCUGAGGGGCCAAGCUGAAGCCAGGAGCCAGAAAGGUUCUUCCGGGUCUCGCAGCAGGUGCAGGGGCCCAAGGACUUGGGCCAUCUUCUACUGCUUUCCCAGGCCAUAGCAGACCUGGAUUGGAAGAGGAGCAGCCAGGACUCAAACCGGUGCCCAUAUGUGAUGCCAGCACUGCUGGCGGCAGCUUCACCCUGUUAGGGGCUCUUUCAGUCCUCAGGCCGUGGGCAGCAGCAGACCAUCUGCAUGGACAGGGCCCUCGUGGUGACCUUGCUGGGGACCCCAGGACUGGCGCCCUUCUCCAGGGUCCGGCUCAGGACAUCUUCCCACAUCUUGCUGGGGCAAUCAGGACCCUGUGACCUGAGCGCUGUGAGUGGCCGCCCACGCCCAGCACUGUGCUCCUGGUAGCCCUGGGCCUCAUGAAUUCCUCAGGGGGCCCAGCUAGUCCUGACCUCCACUGCAGCCACGUCCACCCCUUGUAGCCCCUCCCCUGCCUCCGGUGCCCGCAGGGUGAGGGCCCCUCCAAGGCCCCUGUGCUAAGGCCCACGGCUAUCCACUGGUGGCCCCAGGCGGCCAGAAUUUCUGUCUGGGCUCCUUCCGGGAGACUGGAGCAGGCAGGGCAGCUGUGGGCAGUCUCCAGGGCCCUUGUCUGCCGCCCCGGCCCUGACCUGACCCCUCUGGGACCCAGGUGCCUGCGAAUCAACACCGACCUCUUGCAGGCUCCCAUAAGUCGUGUCCACUACUCCUGGCUUGUGGCCUGGCGGGGGUCACCUCGAGGCACAGGGGCCACGGAACAGACGGAGGACCCAGGGGAGGGCAGGGCGAGGCUGGCGGGGCGGGGCCGGAGGUUUUGGUUUCUGCUCAUGGGCCUGUUCAUUUUGUUCAGAGAAUUUUACAUAUAGUAUGCAUUUACGUAUAUUAUAUAUGCGCGUUUUCUCACUUGUAUCUGUGGGGACUUCAGCAGGUUCAGGAAAAUGGAACGAAAAGGGCAAAAUAAAAGACGUGCACUGUUUUUCUGGGCA
rnacentral:lncRNA from 1 species